CGGCAGAACGGCCAGGCGGGCGGUGGCCCGCUCGGCGCGGGCGGCGCGGGCCGGCUCGGCCCCGGCUCCGCUCC
rnacentral:tRNA from 1 species